rnacentral:rRNA from 2 species
CGGUGAAAUGCGUAGAUAUUAGGAGGAACACCAGUGGCGAAGGCGGCUUACUGGACUGUAACUGACGCUGAGUCACGAAAGCGUGGGUAGCAAACAGGAUUAGAUACCCUGGUAGUCCACGCUGUAAACGAUGAGUGCUAGGUGUUGGGUAGCGAUACUCAGUGCCGGAGUCAACACAAUAAGCACUCCGCCUGGGGAGUACGUACGCAAGUAUGAAACCCAAAGGAAUUGGCGGGGACCCGCACAAGCAGCGGAGCAUGUGGUUUAAUUCG